rnacentral:rRNA from 1 species
AUUAAAGUUGUUGCGGUUAAAAAGCUCGUAGUUGGAUUUCGGGACCGUGGGAGGCCGACGCCGUUUCUUGCGAUUGUCAGCCACCUGGUUCCUAUUCUUCUGGAAGUUCAUUGCUGCGCUUAACUGAGUGGCAAUAACGGGUGCUUGGACCAAAAUCUAGGUACCUUGAGCUCCAGAUCGUUUACUUUGAGAAAAUUAAAGUGUUCAAAGCAGGCGGCUUUGCCUUGAAUACAUUAGCAUGGGAUAAUGCCAUAGGACUGUGUUCCUAUUUCGUUGGUUUCUGGGAACUCAGUAAUGAUUAAUAGGGAUAGUUGGGGUGAUUUAUAUUUAAUUGUCAGAGGUGAAAUUCUUGGAUUUCUGAAAGAUAAACUUCUGCGAAAGCAUUUCACAUGGAUGUUUUCAUUAAUCAAGAACGAAAGUUGGGGGAUCGAAGACGAUCAGAUACCGUCGUAGUCUCAACCAUAAACUAUGCCGACCAGGGAUCGGGGAAGUUGAAUUGGAUAUCUCCCCCGGCACCUUGUGAGAAAUCAUAAGUGUUUGGGCUUCGGGGGGAGUAUGGUCGCAAGGCUGAAACUUAAAGGAAUUGACGGAAGGGCACCACCAGGAGUGGAGCCUGCGGCUUAAUUUGACCCAACACGGGGAAACUUACCAGGUCCGGACAGCAGGAGGAUUGACAGAUUGAGAGCUCUUUCCUGAUUUGCUGGGUGGUGGUGCAUGGCCGUUCUUAGUUCGUGGAGUGAUCUGUCUGGUUAAUUCCGUUAACGAACGAGACCUUAACCUACUAAAUAGUGACGCGAGCCAUACUUUCGGGUCCGGCUCAGCAUCGACUUCUUAGAGGGACUAUUCGACGUCCAGCGAAUGGAAGUUUGAGGCAAUAACAGGUCUGUGAUGCCCUUCAAUGUCCUGGGCUGCACGCGCGCUACACUGAUGAACUCAACGAGUUAACCGCCUUGGCCGAGAGGUCUGGGUAAUCUUGUCAAAGUUCAUCGUGCUGGGGAUAGAUCAUUGCAAUUAUUGAUCUUCAACGAGGAACUCCCAGUAAGCGUGAGUCAUCAGCUCGCGUUGACUACGUCCCUGCCCUUUGUACACACCGCCCGUCGCUCCUACCGAUUGGAUGAUCCGGUGAAGACUUGGGAUGGCCUUCCCUCGGGAGGUGCCAAAACUUGUCUAAACCUUAUUAUCUAGAGGAAGGAGAAGUCGUAACAAGGU